AGAAUCAACGCUGGCGGCGUGCCUCAGACAUGCAAGUCGAACGCGAAAGUCCCCUUCGGGGGGCAAGUAGAGUGGCGCACGGGUGAGUAACACGUAGGUAAUCUACCUUCGGAUGGGGGAAUAACAAUCGGAAACGGUUGCUAAUACCGCAUAAUGCAGCGGCACCUAAUGGUGACAGUUGUUAAAGCGGGGGAUCGAAAGACCUCGCGUCUGAAGAGGAGCCUGCGGCGGAUUAGCUAGUUGGUAAGGUAAUGGCUUACCAAGGCAACGAUCC
rnacentral:rRNA from 1 species